rnacentral:rRNA from 1 species
AAAUUGAAGAGUUUGAUCAUGGCUCAGAUUGAACGCUGGCGGCAGGCCUAACACAUGCAAGUCGAACGGUAACAGGAAGCAGCUUGCUGCUUUGCUGACGAGUGG